AAAGAAAACCAAAAAAAAA
rnacentral:sRNA from 1 species